CCCUUAGAUGUUCUGGGCUGCACGCGCGCUACACUGUCGGAUUCAGCGAGUCAUAUCCUUAACCGAAAGGUUUGGGUAAUCUUUUGAAAGUCCGACGUGAUGGGGAUUGAUCAUUGCAAUUAUUGAUCAUGAACGAGGAAUUCCUAGUAAGCGCGAGUCAUCAGCUCGCGUUGAUUACGUCCCUGCCCUUUGUACACACCGCCCGUCGCUACUACCGAUUGAAUGGUUUAGUGAGAUCUUCGGAUUGGCGCCUACGCGGCUUCUCUGAGGCCACGCUGGAUGCCGAAAAGUUGCUCAAACUGUAUCAUUUAGAGGAAGUAAAAGUCGCAACA
rnacentral:rRNA from 1 species